AUGGCGUCCAACGGCCGCAUCAUUUGUAACAGAGUUUAUGUUGCAGAAAUUUGCAACAAAGAUGAUGCUGCAGUUUUUUUUUUCAUCUUCAUUCACUUUUUCAUCUUCGACGGCUUGGUUGAUGCCCCAAGUCUAGAAGCCCAAGCACGCAAUGAAGCACUUGCACUGGCCCAAAAUCUCAACUUGUCACAUAUGGUGAUAGCUUCGGACUGCAUGCAAGUUAUUUCAGACAUCAAUGGAGCUACACUAUCUUCUUUUGCUUUAGUUUUGAAUGAAAUAGGUGAUAGAAAGGAAGACUUUGUAAAAGUUACUUUCCUUUUUGAGAAUAGGGAGGCAAACCGUGAAGCACAUGUCUUAGCUAAGGCAACUUCAUCCCUCCAUUCAAUUCCAACUAAUUUUUAUUUGCGGGGGACGCAUAUUCUAACUAGAAGACCAAAAUAUAACAAGACGGAGCAAUCUCCGGUUUCCAUGCAAACGCACUCCCCAGUCUGA
rnacentral:rRNA from 1 species